rnacentral:lncRNA from 1 species
UAUUGUUUUUUAGAAUUUUUUUAAUUUAUUUAAUGUCGAUACUCAUCACAUUUUAAUAAAUUUGUUAACUCAGUAUCGAGUGAUGAGUAUCGACUUACAGAAUCGAGUUGCAGGUGUGUUGGUAGCGCGCAAUUUAACAUAGCUGCAGCUAAAAUAUAAGAAUCUGAACAAAGUGCAAUAAUAAUUAAUAAGUGCGAUUUCGAUUUCAUUUGUGUUCUUUCAACUUUUGAUCAUUUUCUUUCCUAGAAUGUAAGAUUUGAAUAUUUGAAAACAGCAGCUGGAAAAUAGUAUUCCCAAACCAUUAAUCGUAGUGAAGUAUGUGAUUCGACUUUCAUUAGAAGGCAUUCAUUCAGAAUUUGAUAGUGACAUUGAAGUUUAAUGGCACUGACAACUUUGCUGCCUGGAGCACCUAAGGUACAUCAUAAAUGAAUCUACACAAAGCCAAGAUAUCCCAGGAGUAUCAAAACGUUUCGACGAUCAACUAUCACUCAAGCAGCAGGAUUCAGCGAUUUUUUGGUACAAAUACGUCAACAAAAUGCAUUGUACACACCGAGAUUCAACAACAGUAUUUUUGUUGAUUUUUUUUGUUUUUGACUUAGCAGCAGUAGAAACGACUUUAUAGAUGUCAAGUGUGUUCUAAAUCCUUUGAUAUUCCAAUCAAUUGAUUUGAUCAUAUUGCGAAACACCAUAAUUAACCUCAAAUUGUGAAAGAGAAACUGAAGAUUCUUGUUUGGUUAAUACUAGAAUUAUGAAACCGGAAUCACCCACGACUCAAGAAAAUAUUCAGCAAGUGGAGUCUCCUAUAUAGAUGAAGUCGAAGACAAAAAUCAACAGUUUUACAACAAAGGCACUGUCUAUCAAUACAGAUAUGAUGUUGAACGACAAUGUCUUCACUCAAGGAUCUGCAGAUGUUAAACAAAAAGAAGAAACUGUUCAAGAAACUCCAAACAGUGUUAAAAAAAAGUUUAUGUUGCUUAUGUUAGCCUCAAUCUAUAACGAUAUACCUUCAAACAGUGAGAAUAUACAAAACAAAGCUCAAAAUGCAAUUUUAUUCUGGCUAUUCUUUACGUCCACGGCUCCUAAUGCCAAUUGCUCAACCAACAGCAGCGGCCAAAGAAAAUUACAACAAAAACCAAAUGUAUGUACACAUUUAUGCGUAUGGUCUAUCCAAACAAUCAUAAUAUAUAGAUUAAUUGAUAGCCAAUGUUUGGUCACUGCGACAGGACACGUUUUUCAAGACUUUGAAAACCCAAAUCAUCAAAACUUUGUUAUUUUGACUAGGUUUGUUGAUUUGAGUAAUUUCAAUAUCAGAAAUACUCCAUUUUAUAGGGUUUUGUAACUUGUUCAGAUCUAAGUUCUCAGACCAUGUACAAAAUCCAAGUAUACAAAUAUGUGUAUGCAUAUGCUCAAAGGCUGAGCCAGUCACCAGCUUUCGUCUUCAGUGCAUACGUCCAUCCGUGGUAAAGCUUAUACAUGUUUGUAUUCAUGUCCACACUGUCGACGACUAUUUAUGCAGAGGAAUUUAGUUCAAAUGGCUUCAAUGAGUGUCACACAGGCCGCACACAACCGCCUAAAGCCUAUAAUUAAUGCAGCACAAAAUGUCUAAAUGUUGUCCAUGGACCGGCACAGAUACGGCCGCCAGGAUGAAGAAGAAGAUUUAUUUUAUUUCCUUUGCCAAUUUCAAUGAACCCUUUGUAAUCCGCAAGAAUAAUUAUAAUAUAAUAUAAUAUUUUAUGAUAUGUACCACUCACACCUAAACUAUUACCGGUGUUUAAAAUAUGUCGUAUGUAAGCAUAUUAAUACAUUAUAUAAUUUUUAUUUGCAUUCCCCAUUUGUAAUUUAUUAAUGUGUUUACAUUUCAAAAAUUGAAGACAUUAAUUAGGAUUAUAGUCAAAUAAUGUCACUUUUUUACAUGUUCUAAGCGAAUGUUCUGCAAAUUUUUCAAUACAGUUUAGUUUAGUGAUUUAUGAUAUUAAAGUGAUUUUAACCUUAAA